ACCUCACAUGGGAGAUAAGAACCCCGGGGGGAGUGUGAGAAGUGAGAAGAGGGAAGAGCCCAGGGGAACAGCUGGGCAAGAAGAAUCCAUCAUCAAGGAGACUGAGAAGGAGGGAAGCAGAGGAUGUUCUCUGUGGCUAAAUAAGAAGAUGCGAUAAGUGGAAAAUAUUCAUUUGAACUUGUGACUCAGCUCCUCCUGACCUCAGGGAAGUGUAUGCCGUAAAUCAAGAUGCUACUCCAGCGCUUCCCCCAAGUGUUCCCACAGGGGCGGAGGCCGGAGGAGCCAUUAGCGGGAGUGACGGGGCCCACUUCGCAGCUGAAUCCUUUCUUCGAGGGAACUCUUACAUGAAACCCCAAUAAACAGAUCAGG